rnacentral:rRNA from 1 species
AUUGAACGCUGGCGGCAGGCCUAACACAUGCAAGUCGAAUGGUAACAGGAAACAGCUUGCUGUUUCGCUGACGAGUGGCGGACGGGUGAGUAAUGUCUGGGAAACUGCCUGGUGGAGGGGGAUAACUACUGGAAACGGUAGCUAGUACCGCAUAACGUCGCAAGACCAAAGAGGGGGACCUUCGGGCCUCUUGCCAUCAGAUGUGCCCAGAUGGGAUUAGCUAGUAGGUGGGGUAACGGCUCACCUAGGCGACGAUCCCUAGCUGGUCUGAGAGGAUGACCAGCCACACUGGAACUGAGACACGGUCCAGACUCCUACGGGAGGCAGCAGUGGGGAAUAUUGCACAAUGGGGGCAAGCCUGAUGCAGCCAUGCCGCGUGUAUGAAGAAGGCCUUCGGGUUGUAAAGUACUUUCAGCGGGGAGGAAGGGAGUAAAGUUAAUACCUUUGCUCAUUGACGUUACCCGCAGAAGAAGCACCGGCUAACUCCGUG